CCUACGGGGUGCUGCAGUGGGGAAUAUUGGACAAUGGGCGAAAGCCUGAUCCAGCCAUGCCGCGUGUGUGAAGAAGGCCUUCGGGUUGUAAAGCACUUUCAGUGGGGAAGAAAGCCUUGGGGCUAAUACCCUCGAGGAAGGACAUCACCCACAGAAGAAGCACCGGCUAACUCCGUGCCAGCAGCCGCGGUAAUACGGAGGGUGCGAGCGUUAAUCGGAAUUACUGGGCGUAAAGCGCGCGUAGGCGGUCUGAUAAGCCGGUUGUGAAAGCCCCGGACUCAACCUGGGAACGGCAUCCGGAACUGUCAGGCUAGAGUGCAGGAGAGGAAGGUAGAAUUCCCGGUGUAGCGGUGAAAUGCGUAGAGAUCGGGAGGAAUACCAGUGGCGAAGGCGGCCUUCUGGACUGACACUGACGCUGAGGUGCGAAAGCGUGGGUAGCAAACAGGAUUAGAUACCCUGGUAGUC
rnacentral:rRNA from 1 species